rnacentral:rRNA from 1 species
CUUUACUGUAGCUUUGCAUUGGAUUUUGAAUAGACUUGUGUAGGAUAGCUGGGAGGCUUUGAAGCGGGGACGCCAGUUCUCGUGGAGCCAACCUUGAAAUACCAGCCUGGUGUGUUUGAGAUUCUAACCUAGGCCCCUGAUCGGGGCUGGGGACCGUGCAUGGUAGGCAGUUUGACUGGGGCGGUCUCCUCCCAAAUUGUAACGGAGGAGUACGAAGGUAUCCUAGGUACGGUCGGACAUCGUACUGAUAGUGCAAUGGCAAAAGGAUGCUUAACUGCGAGACUGACAAGUCGAGCAGAUACGAAAGUAGGUCAUAGUGAUCCGGUGGUUCUGUAUGGAAGGGCCAUCGCUCAACGGAUAAAAGGUA